rnacentral:lncRNA from 1 species
AAACACUUUGAAAUUGAUUUGGUUUUGAGAUUUGAGAAUUUUGAAAUACUUGCAAUGGAAGGAGCAGAGUCACCACUGGGCAGUUCAGGCUCCACUCCCUCUGCCAAGGCCACUGUGUCAUCCAAGCUCUGUCUCAGGGCAACUUCCUUCAAGGUCACACAAAGAUGGAUGCUCCUCUAACCUGCUGCAAAUCUCCGCCCAGGGGUCACAGUAUACUAAAAGGCACUUGAUCAAGAGAAAUCUGGGGUAAGCUGGGAACCAUCAAGUUAUUGAGGCCACACAGGGGGCAGAAAGACAGAGGUAGG